UCCUAACUCAUGUUAAAGCAAUUUUGUGUUGUGAGUUGCUUUAGUGGUGAGCACCCUUCACUUCCAACCAAGAGGUUGUGAGUUCGAGUCACCCCAAAAACAAGAUGGAGAGUUCUUGAAGGGAGGGAGCCGAGGGUCUAUCGAAAACAGCCACUCUACCCCAGGGUAGGGAAUAAGCAAAUUCAAGCCCAGGUCAAAAGGAAGGUGUUCUUUGAAUCAAGGCAAUGCAGUAGAUUUACAUAAAGCAGAAGAAGUCACAUCAGAAGAGCACAAGUAGAAGAACAUUAAGUGUUGCAUUUCUUAUGUUUGUAUCUUUUCUGUUUAUGUUACACUCCUAAUGUCUCAAUCUUGAUUCUAUUAUGUUCUGCAACAUCUGUACCUUUGCUUUCAGUGCAAAAAUGCAGGUUAUGACUAUACGAGAUUUUUCUUUAGA